AGUCAGCCUGUUCUUCAAAGCUUUGAAGCCAGGCAUUGACUUCUCUCUAGCUGUGAAAAGUCUUAGAUGGCAU
ensembl:miRNA